AAAUUAACUUAUGGUUGAGAGGAGACUUUUUAACUUUUUAAACCUUUAUUUUACAAUCAAAUUUUAACCUUUUAAACCUUUAUUUUACAAUCAAAUUUUAACCUUUUAAAACUUUAUUUUACAAUCAAAUUUUAAAAUUUUAAACCUUUAUUUUACAAUCAAAUUUUAACCUUUUAAACCUUUAUUUUACAAUCAAAUUUUAAAGAUGAGUUAAGGGAAGGCCUUUUACAUUUUAAUUUUUUAAUUGUUUUGAACUUUUAUUUUGAAUUUUUUUGAAUGUCAUAAUCACCAGGCGAGAACAGAAAACAGAUGAGGUAAGUUGCUCGUCAUGAAACAUGUUUUUUCCUUUCUUUCUAAAGAGAGUAAAUGCUGCUAUUUCACUCCUUUGUAUUUUAACAGUUUUUAUCUGGCGAAAGCAGUUCAUCCCAGAAUGGAGGCCAGAGGUAGGCAUGACAUAUCACCUUAUUGUAAUGUAAUUAUAAAAUUGUAACAUGUUGUAAUUUAUAGUUAAGCUUGUGUAAGCCCUCUGUACAAUCAUACAUUUUCAAUCAACUUUGCUGGAUUGUCCUUUUUUCUCCACAAAGACCUUGAGCAUGCAAAAACAUUCAUCAUGGACGAAUGACUCCCAAGCAGACUCAAGGCACGCCACCCCUACAACAUGGCAGCACAAGAGAUGCUCAAUUCCAUCCCUGAAGACAUCUCCAGAGAUGCCUGGCUGGCAGCAGCUUGGAAGCACGAGUGGGAGGCAGCUGGCCCCUCCCUCAUGCACAGUUAUGUCUGGGAACCAGGAGACGGCGCCAUAGGAGGAGACGAACUACCUCGCCAGCAGUGGACCACACUGAACCGCUUAAGAACUGGUGUUGGGCGCUUCAACAUGUCUAGUGGGGUCUGGCGGACAGUGCGGCAUGCGAGUGCGGAGCCCUCGAGCAGACAGCCAUCAACACCUACACCAACAUAUAGACCACCCUCAGAGGCCGGCCUCUUCGACCUGGGACCAGAGAUGCUGGCGUGGCUCCACGACACCAAGUUGGAGCGCUGACGUUACACGAGAGAGAGAGAGAGAGAGAGAGAGAGUGAGAGAGAGAGCGAGAGAGAGCGAGAGAGAGCGAGAGAGAGAGAGAGAGAGAGAGAGAGAGAGAGACUCCCAAACCAGGGUGGCAAGAAGCAGGACUUCUCAUUCCUCUCACAGGGAGAGCCAAGACUUUCCAAAAGACCUGUACAACGGAGGCCAGCAUCAUGAAACACAAACUCCCAAACCAGCAUGGUAACAUGAAACACAAACUCCCAAACCAGCAUGGUAACACACAGGACUUCUUCUGAUUCUUCUUAUGUUCUUGGGUCUUGCCUGUGGUUCUACACGCAUCCAGAAAUGCAGACAAAGAACAGCUUGGCCUUUAACAGUCGGAAGCCUCUGAUUUUACUCUACUAAGCCUCAGAUACAGUCUGUUUUCUGUUCUCAUUCAGUCAUUCAGU